rnacentral:rRNA from 1 species
AGUGAACGCUGGCGGCAUGCCUAACACAUGCCAGUCGAACGGCAGCACAGGAAGUGGUUGCUGGUGCGGGGGGGGGGAGGGGGGAGGGUUAGGUAUGCACCGGAAUCUACUUGGGCGUGGGGGAUAAGGAAGGGGGACUAAUGCUGCAAACGCAUACGAGCUACGGGUGAGAGCAGGGGAGCUUCGGAGCUUGCGGGUUUGAAGGAGGCGAUGUCGGAUUAGCUAGUUGGCGGGGUAAAGGCCCACCAAGGCGACGAUCCGUAGCUGGUCUGAGAGGAUGAUCAGCCACACUGGAACUGAGACACGGUCCAGACUCCUACGGGAGGCAGCAGUGGGGAAUAUUGGACAAUGGGCGAAAGCCUGAUCCAGCCAUACCGCGUGGGUGAAGAAGGCCUUCGGGUUGUAAAGCACUUUUGUUGGGAAAGAAAAGCAUCAGGUUAAUACCCCGCGGUUCUGACGGUACCCAAAGAAUAAGCACCGGCUAACUACGUG